rnacentral:lncRNA from 1 species
UCCUAUUAACCCGGCAACAGUCCCAUAACCGCCCCCACUUCCAGCACCAUGACCAGCACCAUAUCCCGAACCAGAAACAUGACCAACGAUCCCCUCGUCAAAUGUGAAAAGGGCUCUAGCGGCUGAGGCAAUCCCCAAACCCACAAAAAGAAAGAAGAAUGUUCCUCGGAGCCAUGUAUAUGUUGUUACAGUUUAAAGAGUUGCUUGGGUUUGGAGAUUGGUGGAAGGAGAAGUAGUGGCUAUUUAUAGGCAUUGGAUUGAAGUUCCAACUAUUGGUGGAGUGGUUGAGGCACAUGGCGACAGUGCAAAGGCAACUAAGGUCGUCGUCUGCACCAACAGUAUACCACAGUCCACCACUACCAAGGGGAAGUGAAAGUGACUAGUGUUCAUUCGCUGUCUUCCAUUUUCUGUAGACACCGUAGGAUAUGGCAUGAUUAACCCAGGAGAGUUCUUUUGAUGUUGCUUGGGGGUCUUGUUUUGGAUCAUUAACCCAGAAGUGAAAUAAAACUGAAGAGGGACUAGAUAUGUAAUUCCAUGGACACUCUUCUUUCAGAACAACAUUAAAGCAACAAAUUACAAACUGUAUAUUGUUAGCCAAUAAAUAAAAAACAAGUUCCUACCCCCUGACUGACUUUUCACAAAGAUACAAAGAAGAACGCAAAAAGGAAAAUAAAUGGAAAGUAAAUAAGAAAACCUCUCAUGAGCCAGGCUCUGCUUGAGAAAUACAUUGUUUUCUUCCUCUACUCUGCUCACUUCACUUACAGGUACAAAUGGCAUUCUCCGAAUUUCAUCAUCAAUUUAAAAACUUGUGCAUUGGGGGGCAGGAAACAUUAGUUCGGAACAUUCAAGGAUAGCGCCACGGAUUGGUAAAUCCCGACUAGCUCAGGGUGCAGUGGACCCUUGACUCUGAACAAGAUGAAACGUUAGUUAGAAUGGGGACGACGAUGUUCGCCUAAGCUGAUACCUGGGUUCAGGUGCUGCUGGUGCACUUGGCAAUGUGUUCUCCAGCUCCUGCAAAUCCGCAUUUGAAUGACCAACAAUACUUUAAAAAGGUAGUUUCAAAAGCAAAUAACUUAGGGGAAACAUUUCAAAUGCAGACUAUAGCAAAGCAUCCACCAGGAUUUGAAGACUUAACAAGUUCGAAGAACAAAUCAAAGAGUGCCCGUCAUUGAUAACUAUUUUGACGUCAUCAAUAUUGAACACUGAUGCUACUAAAGCUAAUAAGGAAACGAUUGGUGCUCUCGAAGAAUUAGCCUUAGCCUAGCUAAUAAGGAUUGUAUUCAUAACCAUGUCUGCACAAGGUUUUUCUGUUUUUGGUAACAAGUAAACGGACAUUUUAUUUUUCAUGACAUUUUGAUAUCAAUGCAAGUUUUCUGCACACAGCCAAGAAACAAACUUUUCAGUUACCAUGAACUCAACAAAAGUUCAUGAAUGAAAAUCAAUUAAGAAGGAAUGAUAUUAAGUAGAAUUCCUGUGAUGAGUGUAGCUAGAAAUGAGACAAUCGGAAGUCAGUUGAAGGAGAUCCAUAAGUCUUAGAAACCACUCACAUAUUCCAAGUUCUUAUAUUCCUCAAGCAAAUUACAAAGAUUAUUCACUAAAUGUAUGUUCUAAUCCCCUCAUCAAUAAUCACCUAAAUCACCUAAAGUCAAGCAAAAUGAAGCAGGACAGAAUUUGAAUGCAAACUGACCUUUAGUUUCCUCAGCCUUUCAUUUUCCUCUUCCAGGCGAGAAAUUUUAUUCUCUAGCUCAUUUGUGUAUGCCUGAAUUGCCGAUUAAGCUAUGUCAACAUGAGAUAACUUAUAAAGCACGAUAAUCCACUCGAAAGAUUCAAACAAGCAAAACAAACCUGUUUCCGAGCUCUUGAUCGGGCAGCUGAUUCUCGGUUUUUUAUCAUCCUCUUCUGCCUCCUUUCAACAUUCUUCACAACUACUUCAUCGGGUGCAACUCUUUUCCUGGAAGUCAUUUGUGAAUCCAACAAUGUCCCAAUUAGAGGUGGUGGAGCUAUCGGAACUGGAUUCUCCGGAUAUGCAACAUCCAUCACAGAACCAGCCCCCAUAUGGACUUGCUGAGGCACAGGCUGGCCUGGCAUAAACAUCCCCAUCACAUUAGGCUGUGGAUGUUGGAACUGUGCAUGCGGAUACUGCAACCAUUGGCCAUGUUCAGGAAACCGUUGUGCUGCAUUUGCAUCAGAACCGGCAAUAGCAACAUCUCUAUUAUUAUUAUCAUCGAUAGGUUCCUCACCAACAACUCCUGCCUUGGCAAGGAAAUCCUCCAAUGUCAUCUCCCCCAAAGUGGGUUGUCUAUCUUUAGACUUCCUCUCUCCAUUAUUUUUGCUUUGUUGAAUGUCUCUCCAAACCUCAUCGACUGUCUUUUUGCUCAAAGCACCAGCUAUUGACAAGCUUCCCUGCCGCGGCAAGGAUGUUCGACUAUCUGCCAUCUGAGUGUUUUUGGCCUCUGCCUAUUGACAAGCUUCCCUGGCGUGGUAAGGAUGUUUGAUUAUCAGCCAUCUGAGUGUUUUCAGCCUCUGCACCCGUAACAUGGUUCGCUUCAGCUGUCCAUACAUUUCUAAGAAGUUCGUCCAGAUUCAUGCUACUGAAGGGUUUCCCCAAGUCACCCAACUGAUUUUGAACCUCAUCCAGAGUGAGGUUAUACAAUGAGUUCUGCCGGCCCAACAGCUGCAAAUGAGACUGGUUGCCGUUACCCCUACCAUCACCAUUAGAUCCCAUUAUCUAUAUCCCCAUUCAACAGUUUAAACUCAUUCCAGGCCGACCAUUUGUAAACUCAGCAGAAGCCAACCAAGAACUCUUCUUACAGCUGCUCUCCUCAAAUUCAACUCACAACCAACAAAUAAAACCUGAAACACCCAAUUAAUAAGUCACAACUAAAUGCACAGACUAUAUUUUUGGACUCUUCUAGCUACUCAAGAACAUUGCAUGACUGGUAAAACCGAUUAACUCCACAAGGAAUCUUAAUUGAUCUCCUGAUGUAGGAAGAACUAACUAGCAAACAAUCAUAAGUCAUAACCUUGAAAGGGUUGUAUUAGGGCCAGAUAGAUUCAGACUAGAAAAUAGAUUAUUACCAUCUGCAAACGAGACAGUUCAAAGAGGAUCAUCCACCUAAGAAUCUCUACUUAUAAUACCAUAAACAAACGGAAGAGCCAAAAACAAAACGAUUCCUUUAUUAUAUAAAUCCAACCGGCCUCACAACUUGAUACUCCAGCCGUAAACUGAAUAGGACACAGGAAACAAAACAAACAAUAGACAAAUUCAGCCUCACAAUCACAGAGAAUGGGGAGAACAUCGAUCACAAGAGACGGACAGCAAGAGGGGUGUGGUGGUGGGGGUGGGGGAAGGGGAAGAAAGAAGGCAAUGUUACCACCCCGACGGUGCAUUACUGGAAAAUGUAACAUGCAAAACGGCAGAGUAGGUAAAAACACUAGUGUCUCCAUUGACAACUAAAAAGCUUGAGGCUUUAUACCCCAAAUCCACCAUUAGCUCACUCAAUCAACAAAAUCUCAAGAGUACCCCCCACAUGAAUUAGAAAAGCAAAAGGGAACGUUUUGCAUGGAACAGCAGAGAAAGGAAUUGGUGCCGUCGGAGACUGCAACAACCGGAAGAACAACAAAACCUAAGAGAAGAAUGAUCACUGCACGAAAACCAAGAACAGUAAUGGACACGCUAUCCCUUUCUUCACACACAGUGCUUGGAACCCGAAAUAGAGUGAUGGCUUUGAAAGUAAUCCAAACCCAAGGUGAUGGAGAAGUAAGGGGAGGGGGGGGGGGGGGGGGGGGGGGGGGAAGAAGUUUACCCCGUUUGUGAUCUGAGCCUGUUGCGUUGGAAAAGCAUAGCGAAGAAGGAAGAAACUUCGGGAUUCGAGUUUCCUCUGUUUUCGGUUUUCCAGUGUGGGUUUGUAGAGAGGGGUUUGGAUUCAGGUGUGGAGGAGAAGGGGAGGAAGUCUGCAGUUCGUUCAUGUAUUCAUUCAAUCACACACCAACAGGAAGAGAAUCAAACCAAGGAAAUAAGAACGGUAAGGGGAAAAUAUUAAUUUUUUUUAAAUCUAAAUAAUAUAUUAAAUAUAAAAAAGUGACAUAAUAAAAUACUUCCUCGAAUAUCGCAUUUAAUUCCCAAGAGACAAAGCUUGAUGUGAAAAAGUACAAUUAUAAAAAAGUAUUAUUUCUGGCAAAAACUAUAAUAGACUUUUAAAAUAUAAAAUAAUGCAUUUUUGCAAAGAUAAAAGAGGCUAAAGACAUCACAAUUACAAGAUGAUAGACCACAAUUUUGACAAUGUGAACAAAAUUUAGUCGGAUUAAGACAAUUAGAUAGAGAGCGGUCAAAGUUAAGUAUUUAUUAAGAGCGUAUGGAUUAUUAUCAACGAAUUUAAAAAAUAUUUAAGAAUUAAAAUUUAGUUAGAUGGUCCAACGAGAAGACGAUUAGAUAAAAAACGAUCAAUGAGAACUACCAACAACACUUAUAUGGUUCGUGGGUCGCGGGUUUCACGGUUUACCCGGCUAGGUAUUAAUUAUUUAUUUUCACGGUCCCCUUGUCGUUCUUUUUCCUUUUGUCUCGAUUCUAUUUCUGCUCCUGCUGCUGCCUGAGUGAUUGAAUGAAUACAUAAACGCGAACUUGCAGAGUGCUCUUCUCUGACUUCUUCACCUGAAUCAAAACCCUCUCUUUCAAACCCACUCUGAAAAUCCUAAAACCAGAUAAACAGGCAAAACCUUGAAUCCAAAAUUUCUUCCUCGUCGUUGAUGCUUCGCCAUCGCAACAGGCGCAGAUCACAACCGGGUAAACUUCUCUUUCACAUUCGCGGUUUUCGAUUCUCUCAAAACCAUCACUGUAUUUCGGGUUCCAAGCACUGGGAAGGAGGGAGAGUGUUGUCCAUUACUGUUCUCGGUGUGUGCAGUGAUCAUUCUUCUCUUAGGUUUUCGAUUGUUGCAGUCUCCGAGGUCACCGAUUUCUUCCCGGUGUUCCAUGCAAAGUUCCCUUUGCUUUCCUAAUUCAUGUGGGUACUCUCUGGAUUUCGUGAUUUAGUGAGUUAAUGACGGAUUUGGGGUAUAAAGCCGCGAGCUUUGUAGUUCUUAAUGGAAACAGUAGUGUUCUAGCUACUCUGGGUUUUGCAUGUUAGAUUUUCCAGUUAUGAACCGUUGGGGUAGUAACAUUUCCUUCUUCUCUCUUUCUUGUGACAAAUGUCUUUGCCUUCAUCGUGUUUGUGGGUUUGAAUUUGUCGAUUGUUUGUUUUGUUUUCUGUGUCCUAUUCAGUUUAUGGUUGGGGUGUCAACUGUCAAGUUGUGAUGGCCGGUCGGGUUUAUAUAAUAAAGACGCUCUCUGAGUCUUCCUUUUGAUUCGGCUCUUCCCUUUGUUUUAUAAGUAGAGAUGUUAGGUGGAUCCUCUUUAAACUGUCUAGGCUGCAGAUCGUAAUAUUCUCUAAUCUAGUCUCAAUCAGGUGUGAAUCUUUCUGGCCCUAAUGAUUCUUUGUUGGUUAGUUCUUUCUACCUCGUCUAUCUGAUGCAUUGUCAGGAGAUCCGUUAGAAUUCCCUGUGGAGUUCAUAGGUUUUACUAGCGAUUGUUUGGAAAAAAGCAAUGAUCUUGCGUAGCUAUUAGAAGGUUCAGCAAUAUAGUUUCUGCAUUUAGAUUUCUGACUUCUUAAUUGGGCGUUUCAGGUUUUAAUUGUUGGUUGUAAGUUGAAUUUGGGGAAAGCAGCUGUAAGAAGAGGUUUGGUUCAGCUAAGGCCUCUGUUGAGUUUACGAAUGGUCGGCCUGGAAUGAGUUUAAACUGUUGAAUGAGGAUAUAGAUAAUGGGUUCCAAUGGUGAUGGUAGGAGUAGCGGCAAUCUGUCUCAUUUGCAGCCUUUGGGCCGGCAGAACUCAUUGUACAACCUCACUCUGGAUGAGGUUCAAAAUCAGUUGGGUGACUUGGGGAAACCCUUCAGUAGCAUGAAUCUGGACGAACUUCUUAGAAAUGUAUGGACAGCUGAGGCUAACCAUGUUACGGGUGCAGAGGCCGAAAACACUCAGAUGGCCGAUAGUCAAACAUCCUUGCCGCGGCAGGGAAGCUUGUCAAUAGCUGGUGCUUUGAGCAAAAAGACAGUCGAUGAGGUUUGGAGAGACAUUCAACAAAGCAAAAAUAAUGGGGAGAGGAAGUCUAAAGAUAGACAACCCACUUUGGGGGAGAUGACAUUGGAGGAUUUCCUUGCCAAGGCAGGAGUUGUUGGUGAGGAACCUAUCGAUGAUAAUAAUAAUAGAGAUGUUGCUAUUGCCGGUUCUGAUGCAAAUGCAGCACAACGGUUUCCUCAACAUGGCCAAUGGUUACAGUAUCCGCAUGCACAGUUCCAGCAUCCACAGCCUAAUGUGAUGGGGAUGUUUAUGCCAGGCCAGCCUGAGCCUCAGCAAGUCCAUAUGGGGGCUGGUUCUGUGAUGGAUGUUGCAUACCCGGAGAAUCCAGUUCCGAUAGCUCCACCACCUCUAAUUGGGACAUUGUCGGAUUCACAAAUGGCUUCCAGGAAACGAGGUGCACCCGAUGAAGUAGUUGUGAAGAAUGUUGAAAGGAGGCAGAAGAGGAUGAUAAAAAACCGAGAAUCAGCUGCCCGAUCAAGAGCUCGGAAACAGGUUUGUUUUGCUUGUUUGAAUCUUUCAAGCGGAUUAUGGUGAUUUAUGCAUUCUAUUUCUCUGCUUCUUGAACCCAUAGUCAUCUCAUUUUGUCAUGAUUUUGUCGGCAAUUCAGGCAUACACAAAUGAGCUAGAGAACAAAAUUUCUCGCCUGGAAGAGGAAAAUGAAAGGCUGAGAAAAUUAAAGGUUAGUUUGCUUCAUUUUGCUCGACUUUCUCGUGUUUUUGGUGCAUUGUCAAUCUAAAGCUCAAGUAGAGGCAUCUGAUUGCCGUUGCCCUUAUCUUGUUGAUUUGCAGAGAUCAGCUCAAGUGUUUAAUGCUUUUCAGAUAUGUGUACAAUACAUUAUUAUCAUCUUUGUGAUUUAGCGGAUUUUUCUUGAGGGGACUAAAAGAGAAUUUGAGUGAAUUAUCUUUCUCGAGGAACAUGAGAGCGUAGAAUCUGUGACAGGUUUCUAAGCCUUUCAGUUACCAUGAACCCACGAGAUGAGGCCUAAAAUGGUAUACUGUCUAACCCAUAGUAACUGAAAAAGUUCGUUUCUUGGUUGUGUUCUUGGACUAUAUAUAGGAAACUUAAGUUGAUAUAAAACUUCAUGAAGAAAAACAAAUGUCGAUUUACUUAUUACCAAACCUUAUGCAUACAUGGUUAUUAGUUAGGCUAAGGUUAUGGAUAGUCUUUGUCCGCACGCAACUGGUUGAAGGUUGUUAUUCCACAGCCAAUUGCUGUGGUUUGUGUUUGUUUAAUGACCCGUCAUUUGGAGAAUUAUUCAGUCUUCUAUGGUCUAAAAGAGGGUCGAUGUGAGCGAUAAUGAAAGAAUUGAGUCUUUGUUUCAGAAUUGCAGGACUUUGCAUGCAUUUAAGGCUCUGCAUUUUGUUGACAUGCACUCUUUGCUUUGUUCUUCGCACUUGUUUAGACUGCAAAUCCUGGGUUCAUGCAGUCAUCUUCAGUUAUUUGCUUAUGAAACUAUCUUUUUAAAGUAUUUUUUGGUCAUCCAAAUACGCAAUUGCAGGAGCUGGAGAACAUAUUGCCAAGUGCACCAGCAGCACCUGAACCCAGGUAUCAGCUUCGGCGAACGUCGUCAUCACCAUUCUAACUAACGUUUCAUCCUGUUCAGAGUCAACGGUCCACUGCUCUCUGAGCUAGUCAGGAUCUACCAAUCCGUGGCGCCGAAUUAAUGCUUCAUCGUCCCCCCUGCACAAGUAUUUUCCAUUGAUGAUGAAAUAUGUAGAAAGUCAUUUGUGCUUGUAAGUGAAAUGAGCAGAGUAGACGAUGGAAAUCGUUCAAGUUAUUAGAUAAAGUAAGAACAAUUUGUGUCUCAACUCAAGCAGAGCAUUUCUUUUUUCGUUUUCUGGCUUCUUUGUAUCUUUGUGAAAAGUCAGGGGCGUUGGGAAGUUGAAUAGCUCCAGAGAUACAGAUUUGUAACUUGUUAUUUUUCGUUUUGGCUAACAAUAUACAGUUUGUAAUUUGUUGCGUUAAUGUGUCCUGAAACACAAGAAGCAAGGGGUUACAUAUAUGGUCUUGUUCAAGUUUAUUAAACUUAUGGCUUAACGAGUCUGGUUUUUUACUGCAAGUGCAUUCAAACCGACAAAGUCGCAUGAAGGAAACCGAAGUGUGAAAAGGGUUUAAGAAUGUCGGCGAUCCCAUGUGGAGUUGAGGCAAGUUGUAGUGGUAGAGGUGGAAACAUGCACACUCCCCCAUCAUGGAUAACAGUUGUGUUUAGGUUUCGCUAUUUUAUUCGUAUUUGUGGGUAUUCGACUUUAUUCGAUUCGAUCGAAAUAGAAAAUACUCGUAUUGAAUGGGUUACGGGUGAGUAUAGGAAUACCUGUUAAAAACGAGCGAGGACAGGUUAGAGAUGGGUUUAGGUACCCAUCCCAUUAUUCAUACCCAAUUUAAUAUGUAAAAUUAACCUACAGCCCUUAUUUAACAGUUACCAAACUAACACUAAGUCUAGAAUCUCUAAUUCUAUGUCCAAUUCAGAGCGGUUCUCCAUUCUCCACGAUCACGAUUCCACAAAUUUACUUUCGGAGUCACCCUGACGAUAUGUGAUAGUCUUAUUUUUGAAAAACUUAAUUAAGUUGUGAGGGCAUGGGGAUACCUACAUGAAUUCGAAAUCCACAGAUUUAGGGAUGUGUACGAAUACUGAGAUUCGAAUGGGGAUGGAGACGGGUAUUGGUACCCGCACCCCAUUGCCAAACCUAGUUAUGUUCUGUUUAUGGUCUGUGUGACAGCAGAUGAAAUGUAGAAUAGAAUUUGAACGAGAAUCAAAAAAUUAAUUUCCAAAAUACAUUUUAUUAAAAUUUAAGUUUUCAUACUUAAAUUGGUAAAAUGCUCGAGAUUCCAUUAUCUUAUUUACUGCUUCUCUCGUACAAGUGUGAGCUCGCCAGUUCAGUAAGCAACAGCGUCAGUUUAAUUGGUGAAAACUCGCAAAUUUAUAAAUGAAUAUAUAUUUUGCAUUAGGGGAUCAUGUGUGGUUCUAUCAAACACGAGUCAGCUUUUCAGCAUUGCUCAUGCAAUAUGGAUUUUUUCAAAACUGUACCAGUCAUUCUGGUUAGAUUUGACAAUCCGCUCAAAGUUAGGGUUAGAUUCAGAAAAUUGAAAAAAAUUAACCGUAUGCAGAUUAAUUGAAGCAUUGGUAAAAGAUUGACUAGUGAUCUAUCACACAAAAAAAUGUAUGGUUUUAAUGAUCAAGUGACAAUGAGCACAACCAAAGAAACCCUUGGACUUAAUUAUUCUAAGUUUCCAAACUGAAGAAACUGAUUAAUCAUACAAGUCGAAACAAAACUACGUAUAAAUAAGUUAGGUUUUAGGUGUGGUAUCCAUCCAAAUUGAUUAUACAUUUGCAGCAGCAGCAGCAGCAGCAGCAGUAGUAGUAGUAGAGAAAUUGGAAGACAGCAAAUGAACACUUAAUUAGUUAGUGGAAGACUGUUGGUGUUGCUCUCUGAGUAUGCACUGAUAUGUUGCCUUAGAGACCUUUGUUCAUGCGCAAUCCAUCCAUCAUUCCCUUUGCACUUUUUGCCAUGUGCCUCAACCACUCCACCAAUAGCUAACUCUGGGGUUGGAACUUCAAUCCAAUGCCUAUAAAUAGCCACUACUUCUCCUUCCACCAAUCUCCAAACCCAAGCAACUCUAUAAACAGUAACAACAUAUACAUGGCUAGUUACAAGCUCCGAGGAGCAUUCUUCUUUCUUUUUGUGGGUUUGGGGAUCGCCUCAGCUGCUAGAGCCCUUUUCACGUUUGAUGAGGGGAUAGUCGGUCAUGUUUCCGGUUCGGGAUAUGGUGCUGGUCAUGGUGGUGGAAGUGGGGGUGGUUAUGGAAAUGUUGCCGGGUUAAUAGGAGGAGGAGGUGGUGGUGGUUCUGGAGGUGGAGGUGACGGUGGAGGUGCUGCUGGUGAGAGGAGGAGGUGACCAUGGUGCUGGUGCUGGUGCUGGGUAUGGAAGUGGUGGUGGUGAGGGUGCUGGCGGCGCUUAUGCUGGAGGUGGUGCACAUGCUGGGGGAGGCGGCGGAGGAAGUGGAGGUGGCGGUGGAGGAGGUGCUGGUGGUGGUGCUGGAGGACAUGAAGGUGGAUAUGGAGGUGGUGAAGGUGGGGGUCAAGGAGGCGGAGCUGGAGGAGCUGCUGGGGGCUAUGGUGGGGGGGGUGGACAAGGGGGGGGCGGGGGGGGAGGGANNNNNNNNNNNNNNNNNNNNNNNNNNNNNNNNNNNNNNNNNNNNNNNNNNNNNNNNNNNNNNNNNNNNNNNNNNNNNNNNNNNNNNNNNNNNNNNNNNNNNNNNNNNNNNNNNNNNNNNNNNNNNNNNNAGUGGUUGGGGGGAGGCGGCGGGGGUAGGGAGACAGGGGGCGGAGGAGGAGGCGGUGGCGGUUAUUAAUCAUAAAGGGAUAUGUACGUACCAUCUCGAUAAAAAAAAUCAGAUGGUUGAUUAAAAUGUGCGAUGUGAGAGGACAAUGACGUCGUAAAAUCUUAAUUUAUAUGUAUGCCAAAAUAAGAUUAUGAAUAUAAAGCAAGAAAAUGAUUAAUGAUCACAUAAAUAGGGGAAAAUAUAUUAUAAAUAUUUGGAUUAAUACAUAAAUUUAGUCAAACAUAUUAAAAUAUAAUUAAAACUAUUCUAACUUAUUAAUAAUCCGAGAUUAAUUAGCCAAAUGUACCUUUUUUGGGUAAAAAGAUGGAAUUAAUUAGCCAAAUAUACUACUCCAUUUGAAAGAAGAUGAUGAGCUCCAAGGUUUGUGUUUACCCUUCUCUGCCUUGGUUUCCUCCUCUCCAGUACUACUACUGCGAUGUCAGUAGAUGAGACAAAAAACAUGGGUACAUGUAGAUUACAUUGGGUUAGGUUUAGGGAGGAUUUGGGUUAGUAUGAAGCUGAAUUGCAUUUAUUUUUUUUGUCAAGCUUACACUCCAUAUGAUUUCCUAUGGAAAAACAAACAUUUAUAGAUGGAGGUGAUUAUUGGUAUAAAAUGUCAAUUUUUGUGUAUAUUUUGAUAGUUGAUUUAUUGGUCGACUAAUUUAAUUGAGAAUAAUUUUUGAAUUAAAAUUUUAUUUAUCUUCUAACAGUUAUUACAAAUUAAAAAGUAAAUAAUUCC